rnacentral:lncRNA from 1 species
UUACUUUUACUUGUGGGUGGAAAGGAUUUGUUUGUGUUUGAAUGGCAGGUGUAGAAUGAGGAAAAGAAAUGAAGGAGUGAAGUUUUGUUAUGGCAAAAUGUUGAACGGAUUGUCAACAUUAAUGCCAUGGAAAUUUCAGGAAAACAUGGAGUUAGCAUUCAAUUCGUGCCACUCUCAGCCAGCUGUACUUAUACUAGAAAGAUCUACCUAAAAAAGAGGGAGGAAAAACUGAAUGCUGAAAGGGGGAUCUAGCCUAUAAAAAGUGAGGAAAAAUGAGAGAGAAAAUGGGGGAGAAGCCUUUCUCAGAGGAAAGAUCUUAAGGUGGAAAUAAAGGGUAAUAGUAGAGUCUGAGCAGCAAAGCAGAAAAAGAGGGAGAAAAAAAAGGCAGUCUGUCUAGUCUUUGCAAGACAUUGCUUCACUAGAGUUGAGGGUUGGGUCGGGGUAAGCUUCCUGAAGUUCUUCAUUUAUUUUCUUAAAAUUACAUCUUUGCGAAAUUAAUUAUUAAAGAUGCUGAAUGAUGUUUUGAAUUUUGAUUUGAUUAACCAACCCAUGAGUUAAAUCUCAUUGGGUUGGGAUUACUGGAUAAUACUUGAAUUUGCCAUUAAUGUUGAAGCUUGGAUUUGAUCUAUUUUAAUGUUUCAUUCAAUUUGUUCUUUCGAAUUGCAUGCAUGCAAUCUCUAGACAUAGAUGAAUGCACACUAUGCUUAUAAACAUAAUCUAAUUCUGAAAAGGUUAGGUUAGUUAGACCACAAUUGAUUGAUACGAGUGGAUGUUCGAUAGAAUGCUUAUAAAAGUCUAUAGACAUAGAGCAACGUUCGUGCAAAGUGAUGAGUAAUCAGUAUCGGGAUUCUCAUAUGAGGUCUAUAGACAUAUAUUUCCUUAGGUGAGUUAUCCUAAGGUAUUGCCCUUGAAAGAAGCAGACCAUUUCAAAUCCAUUCUAAGUAGUAAGUUGAUUAAGAAUUUGUGAAGGCAUUAUUGGUUUAUAAGGGUAGAUUCCUAGUAAUCCCAACCUUCCCAAUCAACAACAUAAACUUUCUUACUUUUGUCUUAGUAUUUUUGCCAUAGCAUAUUUUUAAAUAUUUUUUGUUUACAUAUUGCACACAUCAUCAUUAUUUUGAUUACCAUUGCAUUUCUGUCAUUGUUUUGCCUUAACAUAAUUCACAUACUUUAUAACAAAAACUUAACCAAAUUAGUCUUAUCCGAUCCAUGUGGAGAUGAUAUUGAAAUAUAAUUAUAUUACUUGAUUCGACGUGUAUACUUGCAUAUUUUGCAUACUAUAUUCACACACGAUAGUCGUUACCAUAAAAACUUUAGAAACACUAUAAGGACCUUAAUGAGCUGAGUUCUAAUACAUUUGGAUGCCUUUGAACUAAACAAUCAUGAUCUAACUUUGUCAAUAUUUGCAUACAGAAUAAACAUGCAUCCUGAGUAUUAGAUGCUUAGCGGUGUUAACACAAUUUGAACUCAAAGCAAUAGAAAUAUUAACUAUUCAAGCAUACAAUAGAUCACAUCUUUAAUUAACAAGCUAAAGUCAAUAUUUCACAUGUCAUUCAAAACAAUUUUGUCAUGUUAAGUUGGGCCAUAUUUCUAAUGUUUCGAUUGAUUUUAUAUGCAUGAAAUUAAUGACAUUUCUCCUUUCAUUUCAUAACAUCUCAUAUGUGAACAACUAUACAAAAAUAAACAUAUACGUUUUUGAAUCACACGAAUAAUCAUGUUAUCAAAUCUUUCUCAUUGUCUUUUGUAGUUCAUAUUGAACGUAUAGUCCUUUGUUUCUGUGGGAUAAUGCAUUUUAUUUUAACCAAAAAAUUAUUCUGGAUUUUCUUCUCCUAGUUAAACUCUGUUUUUAGUUUCCCACUUGAACUCUGAUUAACCUAGAGUUAUUGUAGUCAUAUAUGCUACAACUUUCAGCCUUUAAAUAAGCCUUAGUUACUCUAGGUUUUACACAACAACAAAAAUAUUUAGAUUGAGCAAAUUUUGUUUUUCUCUUUCGAAGGUUUUUCUUGUGAGGCUUCGGGUUUUCUUUUAAUUCUCUCUAUCUUUUGUACUCUUUUUUUAUUAUUGUGAAAACUCAUUUUGUCCUUUCUUUUUUAUCCUCUUGUGAGCAGUUUUUUCACGUAAAAUUUACUUGUUCAAUUUUUUCGGUUCUUAUUUUCUUCACUUUGUUUGUUGUUGAAUCGAAUUUAUCCCCUACAAAUUUCUAUUAGAUCUAGUUUGAUUUCUGUAGUCAACCUGUUCAGAGAUAGCAGCAUCAAGGUUAAAUAUUGAGAAGUUUAACGGAAUUGGAGAUUUUAAUUUGUGACAAGUUCGGAUGACGACAAUACUGGUUCAGAACAGUCUAAAAAAGGUCGUUGAGGGAAUAAGCCCGUAGAUAUGGAUCAGUCAGAAUGGAAAGAGCUCGAUGAAAAGGCUCUAUCCAUUAUUCAAUUAUACCUCAUGAAUAAUGUGUUAUAGGAGGUUUUGAAGGAGAAAACAGUGUCUACAUUAUGAAAGAAACUAUAAGCCUUAUAUAUGAUGAAAUCUCUUACUAACAGGUUAAUAUUAAAAUAACAUCUCUACACAUUCAAAAUGGCCAAAGGUGAGUCCAUCAGAACUCAUAUUAAUGAGUUUGUUGCCCUUUUUAAUGACUUAACUAGUCUCAAAGUAGAGACUAGUGACGAGGAUCAAGAUAUGUUAUUGUUAUGCUCUUUGCCCUCUUCUUAUAAAACUUUUAGGGAAACUCUAAUUUAUGGGAGAGAUCACCUCUCGUUCGAGGAUGUGAAGGGGAAUCUUCUGAGUAAUGAUAAACUUGACAAUGAGUUUGGCCCAAACAAAAAAUCAAAUGGGCAAGCCUCAAUUCUAGUUGCAAGAGGCAGACAACAACCAGAAAGACUGAUUGAAACAUGUCUAAAGCAAGGUUCAAAUUCAUAAAUCAUGACAAAUAUCGUGACUAUUGUAAAAAUGUGGGUCAUGUUAAGGAAAAAUGUUGGAAACUUCAAAAUAAAAUCAAAAGGGACGCCAAAAACAACGAGAAAGAUAAGCAGAAAGCCAAAGUUACUGAUGCUAGUGUAGUCGAGGACAGAGGUGAUGAUUUCUUGUUGGUCUCGAUGAGUGAAAGCUCUCAUCUUACUUCUGAAUGGAUCUUAGAUUUAAGGUGCUCGUAUCACAUGUAUCCCAAAAGGGAUUGGUUCUCCACGUAUAGUUGGAACGAUGGAAAUGUGCAAGUGUAUACAAUUGCAACAAGUAAUAACAUGACAAGUAAAUGUCGAGUUAUCGUAUCCACAGGGACUAUGAAAAGAAUUAUUUAUGAAUGUUAUUUAAAACUUUUUGGUGAAGAAAAAUAUUUUGUUUGAAGAGGGUGAUUAAAAACUAAGAUUUUAAACUAAGUAAACUAAAUAAAUAAAUCUCAAAUGCACAAUUUCAAAAUACGAUUUUAAUCAAGAUGACAUAGUUGUGUUAGAUUAAUUACAUUUCAUAACUUAGAAUUACUAGAUGUUUAUAUUGUUACGAAUAAAUUCACCACAACUCGGUAAUUUGCUAACUUAUAAACAUACUCACCUACCAAAAUCUAUUUAUUUCUUGACUAUAUCCUUAUGUCAAUUCAAACAAUUAACUCGAUUUAAUAAGCACAUAAAAGACUACGUGAGGUAACAAAGUAUCCUUACCUUGAAACAGUUUAAUCACAAUAAUCUUACAAGUUAUGCAAGGUAAAUGUAUCGUCAGAUACUGUUGCUAAUUUAAACCUCAACUACCUUAGAUGAUUAAACAUGCGCAAAUUAAGUACUAUGUCCAUUAAUUACAAUUUCAAUCCGUUUAAAUAAUUAAUUUAUUAGUUACUUAACAAUUGUAAUGCAAUAAUAACUUAGUCAUGAUUUUACUUAAUCAAGCAUCUUAUUGAGGCCUAUAAUAACGUAAACACAAUUUUAACAAUUUAAGAAGAUGAAAUGUAAUCAACCUAACACGAAUUAGAUUCAAGCUAAAUUGAUUAAGUUAACCAUUCCAACAUAAAUAUCCAUAGAUAUGUUCAUCAUAACAACAAAAAAAAUUAAAGAGAUAGGGAACAAGAAUCAAAUUCGGUGUUUUUUCGUGGCUUGACUAGUUUGCUCCGUUCUUCCUUCUCCGUUGUCCUUGUCGAUCAAGGCUGCUAUGAACACUUAAUUGCUGCUCCAAAUGGCUGAUGAAUGCCCCUUUUCCAAGAGGAGAAAUCAGCAAGAGAGCAAAAGAAUUUGAAAUGGAAAAGAAGAGAGAAAGUAGAGAGAAGAGAGAAGAUGUGAAUGCUUGAGGUGUGUUGAAUGAUCAGCCAAGGGGGUUUUUAUAGCUGAAGAUGGCUACUAAAAUUAGCUAAAAAUAGUAGCCAAAGAGCCAUCCCUUGGCCAGCCACACAUGUGGCAAGGUUGAUGGUUUCAACUUUGCUAAAUUUGGCUUGGGGUAUAUCUACAAAGCCACCAAUUGUGGAGGGGUUUGAAUGCAACUUGAACAAGUCUUCAAGGGCCUCUUUGCAAGCUUAAAUAAUCAGUUAAUAAGCUGAUUUGGGUCAGCUCUUGGGACGGUUUUUGGGCAGUCCAUUUCUUGGUCAGUUCAGUUCACUCGGUUCAGUUCAACUGGAUCACUUUUUCAUAAUUAAUUAAUAAUAAUUUAUUAACCCAAAUUAAAUUGGAUAUAAAUUAAAAUUAAUUAUAUUAUAAAUUAAUAAAUAUAAUUUUGGACCGUCUUAGACUGAAAUUUAGUUCACCUCGAUACUUCAAAUUGUUUCUCGGUUUUGUACUUCUAGCAGUGUCUGCCGAGCCAUUUUUCGCCCUUUGUGCAAAUCUGUCGAAAAUAAUCAAAAUUCAUCAAAAUUAAUUAUAAAAUUAACUAAAAUUCAACAUGUUCAUAUUUUAAGUUCACUUUAAUUAUUUUAUAAAAUUAAUUAUUUUUUGAUAAGAAUUUUAUUGAAACUGUAUGAUUUUAAGUUAAAAAAGGUAUGUAAAAAUAUGCAAAUUUCUAUGUUUCCAAUAGUUCAGUUGAAGGUGGAUUUGUGUUGAUGGGGAAUAACUCUCUAUGUAAAAUAUCUGGAAUUAGAACAAUACAAAUUAGGAUGCAUGAUGGAAUUAUUUGGACACUGCUAGAUGUCAGGUAUGUUCCUGAUUUAAAGAAAAAUCUUAUCUUAUUGGGAAUUUGGAUUCUAAGGGUUGCAGGAUAGCC